rnacentral:rRNA from 1 species
GACGAACGCUGGCGGCGUGCUUAACACAUGCAAGUCGAGCGGUAAGGCCCUUUCGGGGGUACACGAGCGGCGAACGGGUGAGUAACACGUGGGUGACCUGCCCUCAGCUCUGGGAUAAGCCUGGGAAACCGGGUCUAAUACUGGAUAUGACUCCAUGACGCAUGUUGUGGGGUGGAAAGCCUUGUGCGGCUGAGGAUGGGCCCGCGGCCUAUCAGCUUGUUGGUGGGGUGAGGCCUACCAAGGCGACGACGGGUAGCCGGCCUGAGAGGGCGACCGGCACACUGGGACUGAGACACGGCCCAGACUCCUACGGGAGGCAGCAGUGGGGAAUCUUGCGCAAUGGGCGAAAGCCUGACGC